UGGAUCCAGACUUUGAUUAUGGCUCAGGAUGAACGCUAGCUACAGGCUUAACACAUGCAAGUCGAGGGGAAACGAUAUUGGAAGCUUGCUUCCGAUAGGCGUCGACCGGCGCUCGGGUGAGUAACGCGUAUCCAACCUGCCCAUCACUUGGGGAUAACCUUGCGAAAGUAAGACUAAUACCCAAUGACGUCUCUAGAAGACAUCUGAAAGAGAUUAAAGAUUUAUCGGUGAUGGAUGGGGAUGCGUCUGAUUAGCUUGUUGGCGGGGUAACGGCCCACCAAGGCAACGAUCAGUAGGGGUUCUGAGAGGAAGGUCCCCCACAUUGGAACUGAGACACGGUCCAAACUCCUACGGGAGGCAGCAGUGAGGAAUAUUGGUCAAUGGACGAGAGUCUGAACCAGCCAAGUAGCGUGCAGGAUGACGGCCCUAUGGGUUGUAAACUGCUUUUAUAAGGGAAUAAAGUGAGUCUCGUGAGACUUUUUGCAUGUACCUUAUGAAUAAGGACCGGCUAAUUCCGUGCCAGCAGCCGCGGUAAUACGGAAGGUCCGGGCGUUAUCCGGAUUUAUUGGGUUUAAAGGGAGCGUAGGCCGGAGAUUAAGCGUGUUGUGAAAUGUAGACGCUCAACGUCUGCACUGCAGCGCGAACUGGUUUCCUUGAGUACGCACAAAGUGGGCGGAAUUCGUGGUGUAGCGGUGAAAUGCUUAGAUAUCACGAAGAACUCCGAUUGCGAAGGCAGCUCACUGGAGCGCAACUGACGCUGAAGCUCGAAAGUGCGGGUAUCGAACAGGAUUAGAUACCCUGGUAGUCCGCACGGUAAACGAUGGAUGCCCGCUGUUGGUCUGAAUAGGUCAGCGGCCAAGCGAAAGCAUUAAGCAUCCCACCUGGGGAGUACGCCGGCAACGGUGCAACUCAAAGGAAUUGACGGA
rnacentral:rRNA from 1 species